rnacentral:lncRNA from 1 species
GAGCUGUCUCCCAUUUUUCUUCUAACAACUCGAGGUUGGCCUUGAGAUCUCGUGAGUUGCGCUGCUCGUCGAAUGCCAUGACUUGCGCCGACGGAAGCUUGAGUUUAAUUGGGAUAACGUCCUCUGUUCCAAAGGCUAAGGCAAAGGGGGUCUCCCCCAUGGACAGAAUUUGGGUAGUUCGGUAUGUCCAUAACACAUGAUAAAGCUCGUCUGCC